rnacentral:lncRNA from 1 species
UGCUUCCCCCUGGUGGUUCCUCUCCUGGAGGUGCAGGGAUGUCUUUUGGUCCAGGUGGAGAUUCAGAACCCACUGCUCACAUCCUGAUUCCCUGAUCCAUGGACUGCUGGACUAAGGGGAGCCAUUAAAUCACCAUAUGACCUGACUGCCUGCAAGGACUGGGUGCCAAAUGAACAACCAUGCCAUAGAAUUGGGCAUUCACAGCAGCUGUCCAUCACCAACCAGAGGAGAUAAAUUUUAGAUCUGGCUUUAACAGGUCCUAAAGGA